rnacentral:rRNA from 1 species
UACGAAGGGGGCUAGCGUUGCUCGGAAUGACUGGGCGUAAAGGGCGCGUAGGCGGAUGGCACAGUCAGAUGUGAAAUUCCCGGGCUUAACCUGGGGGCUGCAUUUUGAUACGUGUUGUCUAGAGUGAGGAAGAGGGUUGUGGAAUUCCCAGUGUAGAGGUGAAAAUUCGUAGAUAUUGGGAAGAACACCGGUGGCGAAGGCGGCAACCUGGUCCUUGACUGACGCUGAGGCGCGAAAGCGUGGGGAGCAAACAGG